rnacentral:lncRNA from 13 species
CACAAUCCUGUCUAUAUAAGGUCCCACAGUUCAUGUCAGAGCAAAAACCAAGCCGUGAGGUUGAAGGAAUUGUCCGUAGAGCUCCGAGACAGGAUUGUGUUGAGGCACAGAUCUGGGAAAGGGUCCCAAAAAAAGUCUGCAGCAUUGAAGGUCCCAAGAACACAGUGGCCUCCAUCAUUCUUAAAAUGUAAGAAGUUUGGAACCACCAAGACUCUUCCUAGAGCUGGCCGCCCGGCCAAACUGAGCAAUCGAUGGAGACACGUCAGGAUCGAGGGAAAGAUAAACAGAGAAAAGUACAGAGAGAUCCUUGAUGAAAACCUCAGACUUGGGCAAAGGUUCACCUUCCAACAGGACAACACGACCUUAAGCACACAGCCAAGACAACGCAGGAGUGGCUGCGGGACAAGUCUCUGAAUGUCCUUGAGUGGCCCAGCCAGAGCCCUGACUUGAACCCGAUCUAACAUCUCUGGAGAGACCUUAAAAUAGCUGUGCAGCGUCGCUCCCCAUCCAACCUGACAGAUCUUGAGAGGAUCUGCAGAGAAGAAUGGGAGAAACUCCCAAAAUACAGGUGUGCCAAGCUUGUAGCGUCAUACCCAAGAAGACUUGAGGUUGUAAUCGCUGCCAAAGGUGCUUCAACAAAGUACAGAGUAAAGGGUCUGAAUACUCAUCUAAAUGUGACAUUCAUUUUUUUUAUUUUUAUACAUUUGCAAAAAUGUCUAAACUUGUUUUGCGUUGUCAUUGUGGGGUAUUGUGAUGUCAUUGUGGGGUACUGUGAUGUCAUUGUGGGGUACUGUGUGUAGAUUGAUGAGGGGAAAAAAACAUAACGUAACAAAACAUGGAAAUAUCAAGGGGUCUGAAUACUUUCUAAUCCACUGUGUCUCAACUGUCCAGUUGCAAAAACUACAGAACAAAUACUCCUCCACUAGCAUGGUCUCAGAUCUGGUUGUGGUCUCCGAUCUGGUUGUGGUCUCAGAUCUGGUUGUGGUCUCAGAUCUGGUCUCAGAUCUGGUUGUGGUCUCAGAUCUGGUCUCAGAUCUGGUUGUGGUCUCAGAUCUGGUUGUGGUCUCCGAUCUGGUUGUGGUCUUUUUCACAUUGCUCAUUGUCAAGCCAAUGAGUGACAAGGAGUUGGCAUGAUAUCACAAACAGACUGGCACUCCAGCUACUCAUCCACUACUAUACAUAUGGAAAUCAAAGUUUGAUACCAAAAAGUGCAAUAACCUCUUUAGGAAAAAGUGUAAAUAUCGCCGGUUUCUACAUGUAGGUUAGAAAACACAAUUUAGAUUGCAAGGGUGGGAUUGAAACUUCUCUUUUACAGUAAAUGCCAGUUCAGUAUUCACUGGUGCAUUCAUGAUACAACUACUCCCCCUGCCGGAUAUUCACUGCAAGUUCAGGCCUCCAUGUUGAUUUU